rnacentral:rRNA from 1 species
GAUGAACGCUGGCGGCGUGCCUAAUACAUGCAAGUCGAGCGAACGGACGAGAAGCUUGCUUCUCUGAUGUUAGCGGCGGACGGGUGAGUAACACGUGGAUAACCUACCUAUAAGACUGGGAUAACUUCGGGAAACCGGAGCUAAUACCGGAUGAUAUUUUGAACCGCAUGGUUCAAAAGUGAAAGACGGUCUUGCUGUCACUUAUAGAUGGAUCCGCGCUGCAUUAGCUAGUUGGUAAGGUAACGGCUUACCAAGGCAACGAUGCAUAGCCGACCUGAGAGGGUGAUCGGCCACACUGGAACUGAGACACGGUCCAGACCCCUACGGGAGGCAGCAGGAGGGAAUCUUCCGGAAUUGGCGAAAGCCUGACGGAGCAACGCCGCGUGAGUGAUGAAGGUCUUCGGAUCGUAAAACUCUGUUAUUAGGGAAGAACAUAUGUGUAAGUAACUGUGCACAUCUUGACGGUACCUAAUCAGAAAGCCACGGCUAACUACGUG